GACACCUGGAAAGGUGAAAAUGUUCGCAACUAAGUAUAAUCCAUUGAAAUAACAGUUUUAGUAUUGAUGUGUUAUGCAUUAGGACACUGUUUUAAAACUAGCAGCCACCAAGGGGCGCUGUGGAGGAUUCACAAGAUGAGAAAAGGGAGGGAAGAUGAGAAAAAAAAGCAAAAAUAAAAAAAUCUAAAAUUUUCAUCAUAUUUUUUGAUUUCUGUUAUUCAAUUUUUUUUUAGAUAAAAUAUAAGUUAAUAUAAUUGAUUCUCAUUUUGUGAUUACCAAAAUGAGUAAUCACAAAUUAAUCAAGCUAGCUUAGCAAGAAACUGGAAACUUUGCUGCUGUGGAGGAAACUGCUGCAAAAACCAUGAGAACUGUGGGAAUAAAAUAAAAUCUAAUGUGAUCAAUAUAAAAUAUUACAUAUUUUCAAAUAAUCAAGAGGAAAUUGAUUAAAAUGUAUAUUAUCUGGUAAUAAAGUCAUAAUGUUUUGUCUGAUAAUAUGUUUCAAAUGGUAUGAGACAGCAUUUAUGCUAAAUGAAUGAAGUAAUUAUUGAAUAGUGAAUAAAAAACAUUCUAAAAGUUGAUGCUUCUUUACAUAUUCUGUAGUAUUGUCUGUAGGUUUUCAAAAGGGGCCAUGAAAUGGAAAAGUUUGGGAACCCAUGCAUUAGGAGACGGCUCUACCUUCAUGUGCUGUCUCUUCUGUUUCAGUACUGACCAACAGCUUGACGCCACCGCCUGAGAAAUAAUAAGGAGCUGUUGAGCCAGCGGUUGUUGAUCACGUUCUGGAUUGAGAUGGGAGGAUUUUCCAGGUCCUCAAAGGAAUCCAUUAGGAUGAAGUCCAGAACAACGUCGUAGAAGCUCAGAUGCCUAACCUAGUGAGGAAGAGUGUGAAAUAUUAAACAUACAAAGAAGAACUGUGGUACAACAAUUUAAUAAUCUGGGUUUUCAAACAAACCCCUCGUGAAGCCAGUUCCAGCUCUGUGUCUUCCCAAUGAUCCGAAUGCUCCAGGAAGACAAUCAGCUCCUCAAACACUUCCUCAAAUCGCUUUGGACUCUGGAAAAACAGAAAGUCGGCCAUAACAGGAGAAAAACUCAACCAUUAAAUAUAAUUUAACACACAAAAGCCAUGUUUCAGACCUACUUUUUGGGCUUUGACUAUAAUGGAAGACAAGAUUUUCUUUCCAGUGUCAGCCAGAAACAUCCUGGUAGCCCUGUCACUCAAAAUGAGCUGAAGACAAAAUACCGUUUUAAUAUAUCUGAUCAGUUUUCUGCAGAUGAAACUGAGGUGAUGAUAAUGAAGUUGGACUGUACCUCACAUGCCUGCCGUACGCAGUGCAGCUUUGCCAGGAAAUCCAAGUCACCAAGACAUUCCAGUAUCUCAGUUCUGAAAAUUAUUGAGAACAAAACUUCACCCAACACCAAAAACACUGAGAGCAGCUGAGAUUUGUAUGUACAUAACAGUAACUUAAUGCUGUUUUUCUGGUUCUGUAAGAGUUUAAGAUUCUGUAAAAAUAUAAAAUGGAAACUCAUGAACACACAGUUUACUGCAUUUUAUAAACCCAUUUACUUAAGGUUUGCACACUUCCCAAUAUCUCUGCAUACCAUCUUUAUAAUUUGAUGUAGAAAUGUUGUUAUAGUGGUUGUACAUGUGUUCUUGUGUCCCCCACAUAAUAAAAUAAAUUCCUAGUCUUUGUAACAAAUAA